CCUACGGGAGGCAGCAGUGGGGAAUAUUGCACAAUGGGGGAAACCCUGAUGCAGCGACGCCGCGUGAGUGAAGGAGUAUUUCGGUAUGUAAAGCUCUAUCAGCAGGGAAGAAAAAAGACGGUACCUGACUAAGAAGCCCCGGCUAACUACGUGCCAGCAGCCGCGGUAAUACGUAGGGGGCAAGCGUUAGCCGGAUUCACUGGGUGUAAAGGGAGCGUAGACGGCGCGGCAAGCCAGAGGUGAAAGGCAGGGGCCUAACCCCGGAACUGCAUUGGAAACUGCAGUGCUGGAGUGCAGGAGAGGUAGGUGGAAUUCCUAGUGUAGCGGUGAAAUGCGUAGAUAGUAGGAGGAACACCAGUGGCGAAGGCGGCUUACUGGACAGUAACUGACGGUGAGGCUCGAAAGCGUGGGGAGCAAACAGGAUUAGAUACCCCUGUAGUC
rnacentral:rRNA from 1 species